GGGGGCAUAGCUCAGCUGGUAGAGCACCUGCUUUGCAAGCAGGGGGUCACCGGUUCGAAUCCGGUUGCCUCCA
rnacentral:tRNA from 7 species